rnacentral:lncRNA from 1 species
GGCCUGACCACUCUGGAAAAGACUUCAGAGGCCAAAGACAGAAGCUGGGACUUGAGAAAGAAGGUGACCAAGCAGGACCCUUGACACUGGAGAGAAAGUCAUGCUGACAAUGACUGCAUUUUAAAGCACCGACUGUGUGUUAUUUCUUCGCUGCUCCAGCUAGGAAGGAACAUCAUGACACUUAUUCUGUGACAAAGGAUUAUAACUUGUGGAAGACCCAUGUCAGAUCUCUUCAGGACCUAGCCCAUCCCCUGCUUCAAACAUGGUGACUGGCCAAUGGUAACACUUGGAUUUAAGCCUCAGUGGAAGGAAUGAGAAGUCCCCUGUUUUCUGAGCCUGGCUUUCCAGGAUUCUUGUUAGGAAUCACCAGGCUUGUGUCAGAUGGGAGAUCACCCACAAGCAUCGCGUCUCGGAGAAGCCACCCGCCCGUGUGCGCUCAGAUGGAGAGCACGCCACUUGGAAUUUCAAAGUACUGCUAAUUAAGAGCAGUUUAUUAAAAUGUCAAUCUUUUCAACCAAAACAA